AAAAAGGAAGCAUUGUCCAAUUUGAAUUUUUGAUGCAUAGGAGUAGAAACAUAUGAAGCUAUUGCUGAUUCUCUUUUUAUUGGUUUUGGUGAUCGAGCUGAAACUGCAUAUGGUGAUAGUGGGAUGAAGACUGAAGGUGGAGCAUUUGGGGUGAAACGUGGUAGCUCAGAGGGGGGCUUUGCUGCUUCAUAUGGGGAUGGAUAUGGACUUCAUUCGGGUGCUGUUAACAAAGGUCCUCUAUAUGGCAUGUGUUAUGGUUCUUGGGGUGCAUUUGAGAAGUCUCGCCUCGGGCAUCGCUGAAAUCCAUUGCUUUUUUUUUUUCCUCUUAUUUUUCCUUGUGUCUCAAUCUGUAAAUUUUCUAUCCAUUAUAUAACCUUUCAUUCUCAGGUUGCCUAUAAAUGGGGCUGGUUGUGAAUGAUUUACAGGUUGUGUUUGAAUACUAAUUUAAGCCUGUAAAGAUCUUCUGAUCUAGAA